rnacentral:rRNA from 1 species
AUUGAACGCUGGCGGCAGGCUUAACACAUGCAAGUCGAGCGAGCGGCGGACGGGUGAGUAAUGUCUGGGAAACUGCCUGAUGGAGGGGGAUAACUACUGGAAACGGUAGCUACUACCGCAUACCAUCAGAUUUUCCCAGGUUGGAUUAGCUAGUAGGUGGGGUAAUGGCUCACCGAGGCCACGAUCCCUAGCUGGUCUGAGAGGAUGACCAGCCACACUGGAACUGAGCCCCGGUCCAGACUCCUACGGGAGGAAGCAGUGGGGAAUCUUGCACAAUGGGCGCAAGCCUGAUGCAGCCAUGCCGCGUGUGUGAAGAAGGCCUUCGGGUUGUAAAGCACUUUCAGCGAGGAGGCGUUACUCGCAGAAGAAGCACCGGCUAACUCCGUGCCAGCAGCCGCGGUAAUUC